rnacentral:tRNA from 1 species
UGGGCAGUAGCAUAGUGGUUUGCUUGUGUGUGUGUGACCAGAAGGUUUGGGGUUCGAAUCCCCCAAGCCCUU